rnacentral:rRNA from 1 species
AAUAGAUACCCUGGUAGUCCACGCCGUAAACCGAUGAGUGCUAGGUGUUGGGGGGUUCCACCCUCGAGUGGCUGAAGUUAACACAUUAAGCACUCCGCCUGGGGAGUACGACCGCAAGGUUGAAACUCAAAGGAAUUGACGGGGGCCCGCACAAGCAGUGGAGCAUGUGGUUUAAUUCGAAGCAACGCGAAGAACCUUACCAGGUCUUGACAUCCUUUGACCACUCUAGAGAUAGAGCUUUCCCCUUCGGGGGACAAAGUGACAGGUGGUGCAUGGUUGUCGUCAGCUCGUGUCGUGAGAUGUUGGGUUAAGUCCCGCAACGAGCGCAACCCUUGACCUUAGUUGCCAGCAUUCAGUUGGGCACUCUAAGGUGACUGCCGGUGACAAACCGGAGGAAGGUGGGGAUGACGUCAAAUCAUCAUGCCCCUUAUGACCUGGGCUACACACGUGCUACAAUGGAUGAUACAAAGGGUUGCGAAGCCGCGAGGCCAAGCCAAUCCCAAAAAGUCAUUCUCAGUUCGGAUUGUAGGCUGCAACUCG